UCAUUUAACGGACACAUCAUCAAUUUUAACAGAGAAAAUAGACGAAGGGACCAACUUCAAUUUACAAAUUUGAGAGGUGUUUGUUUUUCUCCCUCAAAUUCCAGAAGGAUAAUUGCAAUAUUCUACGAUUUCGGAGAUGCUAUUUGCCUAUUCACUCCUACUUUGACUACAGUAGUCAGUUACACAUUCAAUGGCAUUACCUUUUCUUAGAUCACGUACUCCAUUCCUUUGACAAAAAAUAGACAUGAGAUUCUGCAUUUUCUGAAACCCGCCGUCGCAUCCGCCGUGAAGCCACCUCACUCAGAUGAACCAAAUAUUCGCUGGCGGAGGAAGAGAUUGAAUUUGAAGGUAACAAGUUAUUCAUCUUCAUCCCUUUCAAUAUUUGAUUUAUCGUCAUGUUCAAGUUCAAUAGAAGAACCCUAAUCUAUUAUAUCAAGGGAUUAACUUCCCCACAAUCCCCAAACCCUAAUCCUUUUCAACAUUCCUCAUUACCAUUUUCUUUGCAUUUCUGCACUAAAACUUCAGAUUCACCUUCAUUUGUUGUGUCCUAUCUCAUCCAUAAUUUUGGCUUCACCCCACAAUUUGCUUCUAAACUCUUCUCCUCUUACAAUGUUCGUUUCAACACUGCUCAAAAACCUGAUUCUGUUCUCAGUUUCUUUAGAAGUCAUGGUUUCUCUGACUCCCAAUUAUGUCAUAUGAUUAUCAAGGCACCAUGGCUACUUUCCUGCGACCCCUCCAAAAGGGUGUUGCCAAAGUUUCAAUUUUUUCUCUCCAAAGGUGCUUCUAACUCUGACAUUGUUAACCUUGUCAGUAAGAGCCCUUUGGUUCUUGCUGGAAGCCUGGAAAAUGUUUUAGUCCCAACGUACGAAUUGGUUUAUAGAUUCUUGCAAUCUCACCAUGACACUAUUGCUUGUGUAAUUCGGAAUUCACAUCUCUUUCGACAGAGUAACGUGUCAUCUAAUAUCAGAUUGCUAAUUGAGAAUGGAGUGACCGACUCAAACAUGGCAAGAUUGCUUCGGGACUGGAGUCAGGUAUUCCGGACAAGUGACAUACCAAUGUUGGUGGAGGAAUUAAAGGAUUUGAGGUUUAAUCCUUCAAAAGCAUCUUUUGUUAUAGCGCUGCUUGCCAAAACAACUAUAAACAAAACCCUAUGGAAAGAGAAAGUCGACACCUUUAAGAAAUGGGGCUGGUCUGAUGAAGAUAUUGGUGAAGCAUUUAGAAAGGAUCCUCAUUGUAUGUUAGCAUCCAUUGAUAAAAUUAAUUUACUGAUGAACUUUUGGGUCAAUCAGUUGGGUUGGGAUGCUAUGGCCAUUGCCAAAGUGCCAAGGGUUAUUAGUUGUAGUCUCCAGAAAACUAUCAUACCUAGGGCCUCAGUUGUGCAAUAUCUUCUAAAGAAAGGUUUGCGGAAAAAGAAUGCAAGCUUAACUACUCCAUUUGUAAUGACUGAUAAGUCGUUCCUUAACACAUACAUAAUACGUUUUAAGGAGGAGUCAUCUUAUCUCUUAAAGCUCUAUGAAGAAAAGCUGAAUCUUGCACACACCAGGGACAAAAUUGGCAUGUCAUGAAUCCCCCCCAGAAAAUUUUGCUAGCUUCGCCGCUGGUGCUGCUAUAAAUUAACAACCAAAAAGCUCCACCUACUGGCGAUGCCUCAUCCAUAAUUUUGGGUUCUUCCCACAAUCUGCUUCCAACCUUUGCUCCACCUACUGUGUUUGAUUCAAGUCCACCCAAAAUCUUACUCUGUUCUCACAUUCUUUACAAACCAUGGUUUCUCUAAAAUCCAAUUACAUGAGAUGAUUGCAAAGGCACCAUCGCUACUUUCCUGCAACCCUUCCGAAAGAGUGUUGCCCAAGUUUCAAUUUUUUAUACUCAAAGGUGCCACUUACUCUGACAUUCUUUAGCUUGUCAGUAAGAACCCCACCACCAUCCUGAAAGCAAGCAUGAAAAAUCAAUUAGUCCUAACCUACGAAUUGGUUUGUUGCAACCUGACAGACACUUAUGCUUUGUUGAAUUACAAUCCAACUUUCUUUGGAAAAAGUCGUAUGGGGUGCAUAACAUCAGAGUGCUGAUUGAGAGUGGAGUAACAAACUCAAAUAUUGCAAGAUUGCUUCAGAGCCCGAUUAAGGUACUCUAUGCAAGUGACUUGCCUGAGUAUGUGGAUGAAUUCAAGGAUUCAGAGUUUGUUCCUUCACAGUCAACUUUCUCAAUAGCAUUGAUUGCCAAACCAUAUUUAUCCAAAAUCUGGUGGAAAGAAAAUUAUGAUGCCUUUAGGAAAUAGGGUUGGUCUGAUGAAGAUGUUCUUGAAGCAUCCAGAAAGCAACCUCAUUGCAUGUUAGCAUCCAUUGAUAAAAUACUUGGUAAUGGGCUUUUGUAUCAAUCAGUUAGAUUUGGAUGCUUUGGCGAUUGCCAAAGUACCAAGGGUUAUUAGUUCUAGUCUUGAGAGAAGUAUCAUACCAAGGACAUUAGUUUUGCAAUAUCUUCUGAAGAAAGGUUUGCGAAAAAAGAAUGCAAGCUUAACUGCUCCAUUUUUAAUGAGUGAUAAGUUGUUCCUUGACACAUAUAUAAAUCGUUUAAGGAGGAGUUACCUUAUCUGUUAAAGCUUUAUGAAGAAAAACUGAAUCUUGCAUAAACAAGAGACAAAGCUGGCAUGUCUUUACCAAAUUUUCAGGCCAUUGAAAGAAGGGUCCCCUGUAGAAGCAUCAGUUUUGUAAUUGAUCAACAACUUGAUAGAUUGAAAACAGCCACAGGACUCUUUUGGGGUUAGGAUCCUCUCCAAAUGGGGAGGAAAUGGACAUCUCCAUUUUCUUUCAUAUGUGAUUGGCAAGUGACAAAAUAAAUAUCGACGACUCAUUCAUAUGUCAUGAAGCUUCUGGUUCUCUGGAUGUCAGUCUCGAACUGUGUACCUUAAAGCUGAAGUGUGACCUUACAACCAUAUGGCUUCACAGGAAACUUGGCUGAAGCUUCUGGUUCUGGAUCAGUGGGUUAUGAUAAUUGUUCAAUUUGUUCCUUAGAUUGGGUUAUGAUAAUGACGAGGAUUGGGAUGAUUGUAAAAAUGCACUCCUAUAUUUUUGUUUGAAAUUCUGUCAUGCCUUAAUUGAUGAUGUGUUAUCCUCCUUUUUGCUUGUUGAAUAUUGAACCAAAAUUUUCUUUUAUGUUAAUGUUCCUUUGUUUCAGA